rnacentral:lncRNA from 1 species
CUUUUAGGCGGUCCCAAUUAUCUCUUUAUCGUCCCUAUAAUCAUCCUAUGGGGUCCCUUAUAUCUCUAUGGGUCCCUAUGGGGUUCGCCACUUCCGGUGUCAUGGCCGCCAUUUCCUGUGUCAUGGCCGCCACUUCCGGUGUCAUGGCCGCCAUUUUUGGUAUCAUGGCCGCCACUUCCGGUGUCAUGGCUGCCAUCUUGGAUCUCAUGGCCGCCAUCUUGGGCCUCAAGGCCUCCAUUUCCGGCGCCAUCUUGGCCCUCACGUCCUCCAUUUCCGGCUCCAUCACUUCUGGUCUCCUGGCGGCCAUCUUGGGCCUCAAGGCCUCCAUUUCCGGCUCCAUUACUUCCGGUCUCAUGGCCGCCAUCUUGGGCCUCAUGUCCUCCAUCACUUCCGGUCUCAUGGCGGCCAUCUUGGGUCUCAAGGCCUCCAUUUCCGGCGCCUCAUACCUC